rnacentral:rRNA from 1 species
UGGGGAAUAUUGCACAAUGGACGGAAGUUUGAUGCAGCGACGCCGCGUGGAGGGUGUAGGCCUUCGGGUUGUGAACUCCUUUUUCCCGCGAAAAAGGCACAGUUUUGGCUGUGUUGAUGGUAGUGGGGGAAGAAGCGCCGGCUAACUACGUGCCAGCAGCCGCGGUAAUACGUAGGGCGCGAGCGUUGUCCGGAUUUAUUGGGCGUAAAGAGCUCGUAGGUGGUUCGUCGCGUCUGUCGUGAAAGCCAGCAGCUUAACUGUUGGUCUGCGGGGGGUACGAGCGGGCUUGAGUGCGGGAGGGGUGACUGGAAUUCCUGGUGUAGCGGUUGAAUGCGCAGAUAUCAGGAGGAACACCGAUGGCGAAGGCAGGUCACUGGGCCGUUACUGACAAUGAGGAGCGAAAGCGUGGGGAGCGAACAGG